GACUCCUGCAGCAUGUUCUGCCUCAUGUGGGAGUCCUCCAGAGCGAUGAAAAGCUUGUCCCAGUGGGAGAGGUCUGCAUGCCCCCCUCCCUUUGUGUAAAGCUCUGCUCAGUGAGCCAACUGUUGCCGUUUCUGACUUAUAAACUCAGCAAGAGGGAAGAAGGAGGGAGAGCCCCGAGGAGGGUGUGUGGAGAGUGGGUGAGUAAUGCUUCCAUGGAGGUGAAGUCAAAAGUCACGCUGACAUGGAAAUGUGGGCACUAUGGAGAAUAAGGGUGGACGUGAGAGGGAACACGGGCAACCCGGGGUAAACUAAACGGGACGGAGGGAAGUAAAGCAGGAGAAGCAAUUUCCAACUUUUUAUUUUAGCAAAAGAAAACAGGAAAAUUAGCAGAAAAAAGUAACUUGUUCCUCCAGACUGCAAGUGACAUUGUUUUGGAAGAACUCCUGCCAAAUUCAUGAUCGGAAUGUGGAUGGAGCUAAAAAUGAGGGUGAUGGCAAGGAGGUCUUCAUCAGCAAAACUAGAUUGCUAAAUUAUAUGAGGAGGGUUUAGUUUGUGAAUAGUCAAUAAAAAUAUUUUCUGCCAAUUACUGAGAAGAACAUUAAUAGUUUUCAUGCGGUCUUUCAAAGACAAUGUAAAUCCCACCAAAUGUAAAUGUGGGAUUUACAUUUGCAGCUCUCUUUCUUUGCAAUUCGUUUUUUUUAAACAUUGCUUUAUUGUCUUUCAAGAGACGCCUGUUCUAUUGCCAAUUGGUAACAAACUACUUUGUAAAAUGAGGAAUUAAUUUUUAAUAUAAAUACAGUCUGGGGUCUGAUAACCUUUGGUUUGACUGUGUGAUUUUGGUCAAAUAACCUAACAAAACCGUAAAUUUUGUUUUUAAAUAAAUAAAUGAAUGAAUCUGAAGUUAACCUUACUAACUUGGAGUCAGCAAUGCAUCUGUAAUGUUAUUCGUUUUCUGUCUAUAUUUGAAGUGUUGCUGUCGUUCUCACUGACUAACCCGUUUUCUUCACAAGUGUUAAAAGAAAAAAAAAGUUCUGCUAUUAUCGUAGUUUUUUAUUUCAAAUUGGUAAAAAUCUAUCUUAAUUUCAAUCUAAAGACACAGCAAAGUGGAUUUCUCUACUUUAAAGAAAACAGUGUGCUAUUAAAAACUCAACUGAUUCGAAACUUAUCUUAUUUUUCUCAUGCAAAAAUAAAAAAAAUUAAAAAUUCCUCCAAGAAGUAAGAAUCCACAUUUAGCUCUUUCUGUGUAUUUUAAGCUCCUCAAAUAGAAAACUGCAGCACGUCAUCGUCACGGUUUUAUUAUUCUAGGCUUUCAGAAACUUUGUCUUCGCUACUUUUAAUUAAGUAUUGUUGCUAAGCUGCAGGUUUAAAACUUUAUUUCUGGCUUCUAUUACUUUUAGCUCGGUUGCCCGGCGACCACGUUGAUCAACCCUGCGAGAGCCGAUUAUUUACUGAAUUCUAUGCGAGGCCCGCCGGUACCGGCCUUGAUCUUGCAGCUCAGCAGGUGCCGCGUGUUCAGCUGCAGGAGCAGGACGAAGGGAAAUGCCCUGACCUUUCUCUCCCAGCUGACCCCUGCAGCCUGUUCUUUGUGCUGCACACGUCAGCACGCGUGUCUGAUCUCCUCGGUCUGGCAGUCUGGGGUAGAGGGAGAAACCCGGGACGACGCUGGCAGAUUUAUCUGAGGAAAAUGGACAACCUGCAGGAAGAGGUGGACGAAACAGGCUGGAAAACACGAAAAAAAAAAAAUUUCCAUGGCACAACAUGAGAAAAAUGUGAAUUUUCCCAAACUCCUGCCAUUGCAUACAUGCAGCUCUUUUUAUCUAGUCUGAGUUAACAAGAUUACACACACACACACACACACACACACACACACACGUUCAGAGCUAUAGUGAAAUAAUUUGAGUCAAUUCAGAUUCAUGGCCUAGUCAAAGUGCACAUCCAUCGUCCAGUCUGACUGAUCUUUAUUUGUGGAAAGCAGUGAAACCAUUUGACUGUCUUCCAGUUCACAAUUAUGCGCCGCCGUGUCAUUCGUACGCAAACGUUCGUAUGAGCCGUUUUCUACCAGACCAGCAAAUUAUUCUGAGCCACAAGAAUCACAUUUAUCCUCAACCGCCAGACGCUCACCGCCCUCCACCUGCGUGCCGCACCUACAGUUCAGCUGGAAGCUCUUCCCACAUGGCAACCAGCAGGAAAAAAUAGACAAGUGAAAGAGAUAGAGAGGAAAAAAAAGUGGAGAGGACAAUUAAAAGAUACAAUAACAGUAAAAUGUUUUUCUGUAAGUACCUCCUUGUUUGUUUUUUUUAAUAUUUCAGAGCAGGAGGGGAGUUUGAAGAAAACAGAUGUGUUUUUUUUUCUGACAAAGUAGGACAAUAGGAGUUGUCAGGCAGAACUCACAGCAGAUGUAAACCAUCAACAGGACCUCACUGGCGAACAAAACCGCGUGCUAACACGACAAACUGAGCCAGCACAGGCCAUUUACUGUGCGGUAUUUUUCUUUUUGGGUGUUUCCCCGCUCGUCCCCCUGUGUGUAGGACGGGGAGGGACGGAAACAAUAAAGAUACUGUUAAAACGCAGCCUGCUAAUGGAAAGUGGGGUAAGCAAGGUCUAAAUCUGCUGAAAUGACUCAGUUCUUGACCUGGUGACGGUAACAGUCGCAACAAAGCAGAGUCGGGCACGAUUGAAUGGGAGUCCAAAUAUAACAUUUGUAUAUAUAUAUAUAUAUAUA